GUCAUCGUACGGGUUGGCAGCAUUGGCACCGCACCCGCUGAGCUCGUGCUGCCCUUUGCCGGGUGCCGUCUGUGGGGCUCUCCUUUCCUCUUCCACGGCCACUCCUCAAAUGCCUCUUCAAAUGCUGUCCCUGCCCAGUGGCGUUCUCUGCACCCACAAGGGACCUGCUGAUUCCAUCAGGCAGCCUCCUUUUGCAGGCACAAGCCAAAGGUCAAAAUUCCAGUUCAGUGAAAGAAGGUCCUCCUGCCUUCGAGCUCAUGGUGCCAGCCUCUCACAGGGGCCUUCGGUGUGCUCAGAUGGAAAUGAAGGAAGCCAGAAGUGAAGCGACCAGCUCAGGUGAUACAGCUAGAAAGUGCUUUAGAGCUGGGGCCAUGGGCAGAUGAGCUGACCACAGGUCACACUCCUGACACCAAACCUGGCUCUGCGAAGAUGAUGUCGAAGAACUCCUCCUCGGCCUUGCUGACCAGCGCCUCCAGGUCUACGGCCAGCUCCUCAUCGGUCUGCU
rnacentral:lncRNA from 1 species